UAAUACCGGAUAGAUCAAAGAAACUGGAAUGUUCUCUGAUCGAAAGCUCCGGCGCCCAAGGAUGGGUCUGCGGCCUAUCAGGUAGUAGUGGGUGUAACGUACCUACUAGCCUACGACGGGUAAGGGUUGUGAGAGCAAGAGCCCUGAGAUGGAUUCUGAGACAUGAAUCCAGGCCCUACGGGGUGCAGCAGGCGCGAAAACUUUACACUGCGGGAAACCGCGAUAAGGGGACCCCGAGUGCCAGCACCUAGUGCUGGCUGUCCAGCUGUUCAAAUAACAGUUGUUAGCAAGGGCCGGGCAAGACCGGUGCCAGCCGCCGCGGUAACACCGGCGGCCCGAGUGGUAGCCGUUAUUAUUGGGUUUAAAGGGUCCGUAGCCGGCCUAUUAAGUCUCUUGGGAAAUCUGGCGACUCAAUCGUCAGGCGUUC
rnacentral:rRNA from 1 species